UACGGAGGGGGCUAGCGUUGUUCGGAAUUACUGGGCGUAAAGCGCACGUAGGCGGCUUUGUAAGUUAGAGGUGAAAGCCCAGGGCUUAACCCUGGAAUUGCCUUUAAGACUGCAUCGCUCGAAUUGUGGAGAGGUGAGUGGAAUUCCGAGUGUAGAGGUGAAAUUCGUAGAUAUUCGGAAGAACACCAGUGGCGAAGGCGACUUACUGGACACAUAUUGACGCUGAGGUGCGAAAGCGUGGGGAGCAAACAGG
rnacentral:rRNA from 1 species